rnacentral:rRNA from 1 species
CCUACGGGUGGCAGCAGUGAGGAAUAUUGGUCAAUGGCCGGAAGCCUGAACCAGCCAUGCCGCGUGAAGGUCAGUGCCCUAUGGGCGUUAAACUUCUUUUGUGCGGGAGCAAUAAUGGUCACGUGUGGCCCGACGAGAGUACCGUACGAAUAAGCAUCGGCUAACUCCGUGCCAGCAGCCGCGGUAAUACGGGGGAUGCAAGCGUUAUCCGGAUUUAUUGGGUUUAAAGGGUGCGUAGGCUGUGCGGUCAGUCAGCGGUGAAAUGCCCGCGCUCAACGGGGGGAAGUGCCAUUGAUACUGGAGGGCUGGAAUGCGGAUGCCGUGGGAGGAAUGUGUGGUGUAGCGGUGAAAUGCAUAGAUAUCACACAGAACACCGAUUGCGAAGGCAUCUGACGAAGCCGCGAUUGACGCUGAUGCACGAAAGCGUGGGUAUCAAACAGGAUUAGAUACCCCAGUAGUC